AACGAACGCUGGCGGCAGGCCUAACACAUGCAAGUCGAACGGACGUAGCAAUACGCUAGUGGCGCACGGGAGAGUAACGCGUGGGAACCUACCUUUUGGUUCGGGAUAACAUCGGGAAACCGGUGCGAACACCGGAUAAGCCCUUCGGGGGAAAGAUGUAUUGCCGAAAGAUGGGCCCGCGUUGGAUUAGCUAGUUGGUGAGGUAAUGGCUCACCAAGGCAACGAUCCAUAGCUGGUCUGAGAGGAUGAUCAGCCUCACUGGGACUGAGACACGGCCCAGACUCCUACGGGAGGCAGCAGUGGGGAAUAUUGGACAAUGGGGGAAACCCUGAUCCAGCCAUGCCGCGUGAAUGAUGAAGGCCUUCGGGUUGUAAAGUUCUUUUGGUGGGGACGAUGAUGACGGUACCCACAGAAUAAGCUCCGGCUAACUUCGUGCCAGCAGCCGCAGUAA
rnacentral:rRNA from 1 species